rnacentral:rRNA from 1 species
GUAGGUGGCAAGCGUUGUCCGGAAUUAUUGGGCGUAAAGCGCGCGCAGGUGGUUCUUUAAGUCUGAUGUGAAAGCCCCCGGGCUCAACCCGGGGAGGGUCAUUGGAAACUGGGGAACUUGAGUGCAGGAGAGGAAAGUGGAAUUCCACGUGUAGCGGUGAAAUGCGUAGAUAUGUGGAGGAACACCAGUGGCGAAGGCGACUUUCUGGCCUGUAACUGACACUGAGGCGCGAAAGCGUGGGGAGCAAACAGGAUUAGAUACCCUGGUAGUCCACGCCGUAAACGAUGAGUGCUAAGUGUUGGGGGGUUUCCGCCCCUCAGUGCUGCAGCUAACGCAUUAAGCACUCCGCCUGGGGAGUACGGUCGCAAAGACUG